CCUACGGGAGGCAGCAGUAAGGAAUAUUGGUCAAUGGACGAAAGUCUGAACCAGCCAUGCCGCGUGAAGGAUUAAGGCCCUCUGGGUUGUAAACUUCUUUUAUCUGGGACGAAAAAAGGGUAUUCUUACUCACUUGACGGUACCAGAGGAAUAAGCACCGGCUAACUCCGUGCCAGCAGCCGCGGUAAUACGGAGGGUGCAAGCGUUAUCCGGAUUUACUGGGUUUAAAGGGUGCGUAGGUGGGCUUGUAAGUCAGUGGUGAAAUCUCCGGGCUUAACCCGGAAACUGCCAUUGAUACUAUAGGUCUUGAAUUAUCUGGAGGUAAGCGGAAUAUGUCAUGUAGCGGUGAAAUGCUUAGAUAUGACAUAGAACACCAAUUGCGAAGGCAGCUUACUACGGAUAUAUUGACACUGAGGCACGAAAGCGUGGGGAUCAAACAGGAUUAGAUACCCUGGUAGUCCACGCCCUAAACGAUGGAUACUCGACAUCAGCGAUACACUGUUGGUGUCUGAGCGAAAGCAUUAAGUAUCCCACCUGGGAAGUACGAUCGCAAGAUUGAAACUUAAAGGAAUUGACGGCUGAGAGNGCGAGACGACACGAGGGAGGAGG
rnacentral:rRNA from 1 species